rnacentral:lncRNA from 1 species
AAUGGGCAACUUCUUUGUGUUGCAAGGUGAAAGAAUGCAUACUCGAGCCGACAUCACUUUCCAUCUUCGGCACUCUCAGCGUGACCUUUUGGGUGCUAACCUAUGACAGAAUUAUUAGUUAAUCCUUACAUUUAUUACUUAUUAGUACUUUAACAUAUAUUAGUUAAGUUUGAGAAAGCUAUGGGAAGUGAGCUACGGAGUAAUAUUCGUACCUAGUGGUGAAGACAGCUACACAAUAACAAUCCAGAAGAGCAAGAAGGUGGGUUGUUCAGAGUAAAAAUGUUAAAUUUAUUGAUUUUUUAAAAAAUAUUGUUGAAUAAAUUUGUUGAGUUUUUUUAUAUAUAUAUUGAUAAAAUAUGUAAAUAUUAUAGAGUUAAAUUUAUUAUUAAGCUAAUAAAAUAACCCACAUCAACUCCUCCAUCACUUAUCUAACUACGACUUAGGGGGAGUGAAUAAAAUAUUUAAUUUCAAAAAUUUUAGUGAUUAAAUUAAAAAAUUAAUAAUUAAAUAAUUAAAAUAGUUAAUGAAUAUUUUUGUACUUUACCUUUCUUUCUACAACAUUUUGAAAUUGUUUAGCAGAAUUUUCAUUGUUGGAUUCUAAAUCCAAAACAUUUGGGCUUUCUCUUAUAGAUAAUGCAAUUUAGCCCAAAAACAACUUGGGUUUCUUCCAUAAAUAAUCAUUAAAAAAGGAAAGAAUCUAACAAUUCCAGGUUCCGUAGAAGGUAUGGGAGUCGCAUAAACUUUCUUAAAAAAAAAAAAAGACCCCCGAAAAAGACUGCUUCGCUUUCUCGAAUUUUCCUUCUCCGUUUAUCCCUUUCUCUAAAUUUUCUUCCGAUAGAAACUAAUUUUGUUUUCCCCUUUUUCUUCGGGGUAAAAAGAACCUUUUUCUCAUAUAAAUCAUUGAUUAGCUCGAAUUUCGAUCCAUUAUGGUAUGUUUCUCUAUUACCCUUCUCUAAUAUUUGAUCUAAUGAAUCAGUUGCAUGAUUUUUCUUCUCUUUUUGUAUUUCAUUUCGAUGAAUUAUUGUUAAAUACAGACAAUUAUAAUGGAACAGAAUGUUAAAAAUGCUCUUUCUGAAUGUUUGUUUGGAUGUUUUUAGUUUGCUUGUAAACUUUUAGGUAAUUCAGAUUCGUGAUGCAACAAUAACUUGGUUAGUAAUUUCCUGAUAAUCUGCUACAGAAGUUAUGGAUGUUAUUGUCUUGGACAUAAUCUUGUUUCAAAUUAAAAUGAUCUGGUUCAACUUUUUGCUCUCUUUUAGUAUCAAUUUGAAUUUCGGUUUUUGAUUUUGCAAGCGAGUAAUGUAAUCCGAAAGAGUAGGUCAGUUUACAGGGUGUAGUCGAGCUCGAAUCAUUCGAAACUCGAUCUGAAAUGCAAGGCUCAAAGCUCAACUUGAGUUUGAUUGAAUUUUGCUUUUAUAGCUGAAGCAAUUUGAGAUAAUAGUCGAACUGGAUGAGCUUACUCAAUUAAAGUAAAAUAUAAGCUCAGUUUCUAUACUCAAGUUUGGAUUUGAAUUGAAACAUUUAAUAGUAAUUAAAAAGAAAAAGCUCGAUUAAGCUCUUAAACUACUUGAGUCAAAUACUCAAAAUCAGCUCUUACACUAGCUCAAGAUUUGGUCAAGCUGAAUUCAAGUUUUUUCAAGCUGAGGCCAAACAGCUUUUGUAAUACAAGUGUUUCUUUUGCUCUCUUAGAUCUACUAAGGUUGGAGCUUAGUUUUUAGUGCUCUUAAAACCCGAAACUUGAGUGGUUUUGCUUGUUGUGUAUGUCACUUCUUGCUUCAAUGUCUCUAUCUAUCUUUCUUUUCUUAAUUUUGAUGUUAUAGGGUGUCUCUGUUUUUGUUUGCUAUAGUUUGUCAUAGGCAUCAGCUUCCUUAGUUUUGGACUCUAUAUUCAUUUUAUUUUUAAGAAUCCAAAUGGAUCCCAAUUCCCAAAUGAGUCUAGUUACAUUAGGUUUUAAAUAGGUUUAAUGCUUAGUUUUCCCAAACCACCAAAUCGGGCAUUAAAGUGAGUUGUUGUUAGAAUGAUUAGGGUAGCAUCAUUAUUCUAUCAAGCCAUACAAGUUCAUUGCUAGUUAUAGCAGUGAUAUUUCUUAAAUUAUAGGUGAUGCAAGUCACGAAUGUGUUCAACCUGAAAGUGAUCGAAGGACAAAAUAGAGGUAACAAUAUCUUACAUUGAACCACAGACAUGCAACUUUGAAUUGAAAGAAUCAGUUCCAGAUAAAAUUAAAUUCUAAACAAGGUUUUAGGAAGUUUGCAGUAAGCUUUAUUGAGCUGUCUUGUGGUUCUUUCUCUGUGUUCUGGUUCUAUUUAAGUGUUGUCUGGUGUCUUGAUUUUAAGAAUUCUGGAAUUUGAAAUACUGUAUUCUUGCUUGAUAAAACUAUUCAGGGAAGAGAGAAUGUUGCAAUGGGUGAGUGUAAAAUAGUUAAAACUUUACAUUUUCUUUUUAGGCUUUUUUCCUUUGUAUUAUCAUUCUUCUUUGCUUAUCCGUAUAUCUUUAAAUGUAGGCUGCGAAGAUUCUUGCCAACUUAAUUGUAAUGGGCUCCGGUAUAUUGGCUCGGGCCGUUGUUCAGGCAUACCGUCAAGCACUUUCAAGUUAGUUCUUUACUGCAGUACUAUUAUUCCAUGUACAUAAUGUUAACUUUGCUUGAACAUUAGGAGCUUGCUUUUAAAAAUGGAGCAAUUGUAUGGUAUAAUCAUCCAAGCAGACUCUGAUUAUUGUGAAAAGGGUUUGUUUGUUAUUUCUGCUUGCUUGUUGCUGUUGUAUUGUGUGGUGCAGAUGGACUUUCUAGUUUCUUCAACCGUAGUGCCUUUUAUAUUGAGGUUGCAGCGGUUGUGGCUCUUGCAAUACUAGAGUUUUGAGGUCACGGUAGUGUAAAGAGACAGGGAUCAACUAGUAAAAUGUGCAAAACAGAAGCUUAGAAAGAUAAGACGACAACCUCGCUAGGGCUUGUCAACCUCACAUGGGGUUGGGCAAUAACAACAGAACAUACCUGGGACUCUGAUCCCAAGUAAAACAUCCAUUGUAAAACUAAUGGUCAAUAGGUGAAGGGACUCAACUUUAAUAUGAGUCCACAGGAAACCUUAUUUAACAGAUGUGGGAUAACACCACUUAACACUAGUGAGCUAAUUGUCUUUGAUGUUGAUUUGCUCACGGUGAUGUCUUCAUUAAAGAAGUCCCGUGAGGAAAAUUGGUUUAGGAUCAACAUUCUAUUGUUAAUUUUAACAAAUAACAGUAAGCUUGUUUACUCUCAUGUUUGCUUUAUACGCAUCAAUCUUCUGAAUAGUAAGUUUGUUGUAGAUGCCACCAAAUCUGGUGUUACCCAUGAGACACUACAAAACGCAGUUCGUAGAGGUGGCAAAGUCAUGACCGAGCAAGAGGCCAGGCUGAUUCUUGGUGUAAGCGAGGAGACUGCUUGGGAGGAGAUAUUAAAGGCUAGUUUGUGUAUCUCUUUUCUUAACGUUUUCUGUUAUGUUUGUCUCAAGCAAGUUUUGAACUUCUCCCAUUACUUAAUUGCAGAAGUAUGAAAUUUUAUUUGAGAAGAAUGCCAAGAAUGGGAGCUUCUACCUUCAGUCAAAGGUUCAUAGGGCUAAGGAGUGCUUAGAAUCUGUCUAUCAAGGCAAAGCAGAGGGCAAUCCUCCGAGUUGAGAACUCAUCAAGGUUAGCUCAUUGUACAUUGGGAUGCCUGCCUGAAUACUAAUUCUAGUCUAACGCAAAUACUUGCUGCAAUUUUGUGUCCUAAGUUCUCAAUGUUGAAUUGGUUGAGUGGUUGCAAAUAAUAACUUAAGGUUUCUUAAACUAAUCUGUUUCCUGUGGUCGUUGCCAUGCUGCUUGUUAGAUUAAUACAGAGUAGAUUACUUCAAUCUUAAAAUACAAGUCUAUGUUAUUCAGACUCGAAUGUAUAUACGGGUUUGAUAUGGAUAUACAUUAGACAUGUGCUGAACACUGGUACUUCAAGAAAAAUCAAGAACAUGAAGAGUAAAAAUAUGAGAAACUACAAGUAUAUAAAUAAUAGCUGAGUUAAUUCAGUUUAGUUUGAGUGAGUUAUUCGUGUGUUCAACUGUCCUCUAUGAUUUUCCAGUAUCUUUCAAUUGAUUCUUUAAACAUUUAUUUCACCCUUAAUUAGUCGGAAUAUUUACUAGUUUAAAUGUGCCAAAGGUGGUUGUAUUUUAAUGAAAUUUUAAUUUUAAUCCCGCACAAGCCAUUGAGCAUUUGUACUAAUUUCGAUUUUGCAGUCUUAGUUCUACUGAUGGAGUAAUUAUAAAAAUGGCAUAAUCGAACCAUCUCUUCUGACUCUUUCUUUUUCUUUGAAGAAGUGCUUGAUUUUUUAAAUAAUAAUAAUAAAAGUUUUUCAUAUUUUCAAUAAAAAAAUCUUUAAAUUUUAUAAUAAAAAAAUUCCAAGAUUAUGAAAAAAAUAGUCUUUAAAACUUCUAAAAUUUUAAAUUAAAUUUUAAAAAAAAAGUUCUACGAAUUCUAAAAAAUGUGUAUUCUGUGAAUGAUAAUAGAGUUCUUUCUAAGUAUUAGCCAUUCGUAUGAAACCAAAUUUGAAUAAAUAAUUUUUUUUAAUUCAACUUAAAUCAGUUGUAUAUCGAAAACGUAUUUUGGAGGAUCUUAACGAGGAAAGUGGAAAUUAAGUUUUGUAUCUAUUGAGAAUAAUCUGGGUACUUACUUUUUAGUAAAUAAUAGGAACAAAUAUAUUGCAAAAAGAAAUAUUGAAGAUUCUGCGACCUUUAAGAUUUCUGUCUUCUCUUUUCCUUUUUCUCCCUUUCUUUUUUAUUUAUCCUUAUAUUAUUUUUAAUUCAAAUUAUCUGUACCAUUUAAUAAUAUUAAUUUUCAUUUAUCUAUACAAAUAAUUUAUAUUAUUAUUUAAGCACGCGACUGAAUUAGUGUCAUAAAUUAACUCAAUACAAAUUCAGUCAAUGAAAUUACUAACAUAACCUUACAUAUUUUAAAUAAGUUAUAUUAUUAUAAUUGUACUUUUAUCUUUUUCUUAAUUUUAAAAAGUUACCGAUGUUGAGAUUUAAACUCAUUCUAGCAGCAUCAGUAGGAGUUUUUAUUUACCACUUUAACCAUAAUUUUAAAUAUCAUAACACAAAUUGUUUUAUCCAAUAUCUAUCUAUAUUAUUAUUUAAGUGUGUGACUAAGUUAGUAUUACAAGUCAAUUCGAUAAUAUCUCGAUCAUUGAAAUUAUUAAAAUAACCUUACAUAUUUUCAAUAGGUUAUAUUAUUACGAGAAUCCAUUCGAAGCUUAUUUUAAAAACUCAAUAAAGAAGUUAGAAAUGUUGAUAUCAUGUCACCACCAUUUAUAAAAUAUUUUCCUUACCAUUUUAACCGAAUUUUUUUUUAUAUAUAUUUUUUACAUUUCAAUGUUAUUACACAUUGUUUCGUACAAAUUAUAUAUAUGUUGAUAACGUCAUUGAUUGAGUUGAACACAAUAUCAACUCAAGAAAAAUGGGAAUACUAUGAUAAAAAAUUGGAGAGCAUUUAAUAUUCUUAAUUAAUGCAUUUACCUAUUUAAAUUUCUUUUUACUUACAAUUUAAAUUAAUUUUUUAUUUUAAUUUUCUACGUAUUUCAUAUAUUGUUAUUAGUCUCAAAAUAAAGCUUCAUUAUUUAUUAUAUGUUAUUUUUAAAUGCAUACUUAUAUUCAAUAUACAUUAUAUUCAUAUACAUACGCAUGCGAUAAAAUUUUUAGUAGUAUACUAGUAAAAUUUUCUCACUUGUAGUUUAUAAAUUAAGACUAACAUUAUGUUUGGUUGGGGAAAUGGAAUAAGGUUUUCCUUUGUUUACAGUUGAACAGUAAACCAACAGUGUGAGCAAUUCAACGGAAUACCAUUUCAGUUCUAUUUGUUAAAAAUACUAAAUAUGAAUCCAGUGCCUCCCCAUAUAAUAGCAAUGUGAUGAAGAUAAUGAACAACUUAACUUUUUUUCUUACCAAUAUACGUUUCAAAAAUUUAUAAUUUUUCAAGCAUAAAUAUAACAUAAAAAAAAAAAGCAGUCAUUGUUUUCUCACUUUUUUUGCAAAACUCAUUCACUCUUAAUCUUUCUCUGUGAGAAUGUGAAUUCAUAAAUUUAAGGAGAGUAAAGUUGAAAGCACCAAGGUUAAUUUGUGGAUGGUUUUCAAUUUCCAAGGGAGAUGCAAAGUGUUGAGGUAGUUUUUUAGCAUUGCCUUAAUCAGUCCUGGACCAGUGCUAAUUGGAUGUGAUUGUCAUGUCAUUUUUUUGUUCUUUCUUUGAAUAUAUUGGCAUUCCCGCAAGAAAACAUUCUCGAUUUUGUCAAUUCAUCAAGUUGUAACAUUUUUUUCCCCAACAUGUUUCAGAUCUAGAUUGAGUUGCUUGAAAGCCCAAUAAGCUCUAUGCUCAAGCUCCGAUGGUAGGUGGUAAGCUUUUCCGAACACUAAUCGAUAGUGUAACAUCCCUAAAGGAAUUUUGAAUGUUGUUCGAUAAGCUCAUAAAGCAUCAUCAAGUCUCCUGGACUAAUCUCUGCGAUUCAGACGUACCAUUUUUUUCAGUAUGCCUUUUAUUUCUUUAUUUGUCAGCUCAGCUUGCCCAUUUGUCUGUGGGUGGUAAGCCGUAGCAACCUUGUGGUUUACACCAUACUUAUCAAGUAACCACUUCAGCCACUUAUUCACAAACUGAGAUCCCUCAUCGCUAAUUAUAACCCUUGAAGUCCCGAACCUAGCAAAUAUAUGAUUAUGCAGGAAGCGCAUGACCACCUUGGAAUCAUUCGUCUUAUAUGCCUCGGCCUCUACCCAUUUCAACACGUAAUCAACAGCCACCAAAAUGCACAUAUUACCAUAUGAUAGAGGAAAUUUACCCAAAAAAUCAAUACCCCGCACGUUAAACAAUUCAAUUUCAAGGAUGUUAUUCAAAGACUUCUCAUUUCUCCUUGAAAUAUUUCCAACUCGUUGGCACUGAUCAAAAUUCCUCACAUAGGCAUGUGCAUCUUUAAAUAAAGUGGGCCAAAAGAACCUGACUUGUAAUACCUGAGUCGCACUAUGUGUCCCCCAAAUCGUCCCCCACAUGGAGAUGGAUGACAAUAGUAAAGGAUAUUGCGUACCACACUUUCAGCCAUACACCUUCAAAUUAUUUGAUCUACACAUUGCUUGAACAAAUAUAGUUCCUCCCCAAAAUAGAACCAUACAUCAUGUAGGAAUUUCUUCCUUUGUUGGUAUAUCAUCUCGGGCGGCAUUAGUCCACUAGCCAAAAAGUUAUCAAAGUCAGCAAACCACGGAAUUUCAUGUAUGACUACUUCAAAGAUGUGUUCAUUCGGGAAACAUUCAUUAUUAAGAACAAAGGAGUGAGUUUCCUCUUGAUGCUCCAAUCUUGAUAGAUGAUUUACCACCUAGUUUUCCACCAUCUUUCUAUCCUGAAUCUCAAGAUUAAAUUCUUGGAGUAAAAGUAUCCAUCGAAUUAAUUUUGGCUUAGCAUCUUUUUUCGUGAGCAAAUAUUUAAUGGUCGGGUGAUUAGUAUAAACUGUCACCUUAACCCCUACAAGAUAAAAACGAAAUUUAUCAAAGGCAAAUACAAUAGCAAGUAACUCUUUUUCUGUUACCUUAUAGUUUAACUGUGCUCUUUUCAAGGUUUGGCUUGCAUAAUAGAUGGAAUGAAUAAAUUUGUUCCUUCGUUGCCCCAUCACAACUCCUACUGGGAAGUCACUUGCAUCACACAUCAACUCAAAAGAAGAACUCCAGUCUGGUGUAAUAAUAAUUGGUGUUGAGGUUAAUCAGCUUUUCAAAUCGUCAAAAACUUUCAAACACUCCUCAUCAAAGUUGAAUGUUGUAUCUUUAUCCAACUCGUUGGCACUGAUCAAAAUUCCUCACAUAGGCAUGUGCAUUUUUAAAUAAAGUGGGCCAAAAGAACCUAACUUGUAAUACCUGAGCCGCACUAUGUAUCCCCCAAAUCGUCCCCCACAUGGAGAUGGAUGACAAUGGUAAAGGAUAUUGCGUACCACACUUUCAGCCAUACACCUUCUAAUUAGUUGAUCUACACACUGCUUGAACAAAUAUAGUUCCUCCCAAAAAUAGAACCAUACAUCAUGUAGGAAUUUCUUCCUUUGUUGGUAUGUCAUCUCAGGCGGCAUUAGUCCACUGGCCAAAAAGUUAUCAAAGUCAGCAAACCACGGGAUUUCAUAUGUAUGACUACCUCAAAGAUGUGUUCAUUUGGGAAACAUUCACUAUUAAGAACAAAGGAGUGAGUUUCCUCUUGAUGCUCCAAUCUUGACAGAUGAUUUGCCACCUAGUUUUCCACCCUCUUUCUAUCCUGAAUCUCAAGAUUAAAUUCUUGGAGUAAAAGUAUCCAUCGAAUUAAUUUUGGCUUAGCAUCUUUUUUCGUGAGCAAAUAUUUAAUGGUCGAGUGAUUAGUAUAAACUGUCACCUUAACCCCUACAAGAUAAAAACGAAAUUUAUCAAAGGCAAAUACAAUAGCAAGUAACUCUUUUUUCUGUUACCUUAUAGUUUAACUGUGCUCUUAUCAAGGUUUGGCUUGCAUAAUAGAUGGAAUGAAUAAAUUUGUUCCUUUGUUGCCCCAUCACAACUCCUACUGGGAAGUCACUUGCAUCACACAUCAACUCAAAAGGAGAACUCCAAUCUGGUGUAAUAAUAAUUGGUGUUGAGGUUAAUCAGCUUUUCAAAUUGUCAAAAGCUUUCAAACACUCCUCAUCAAAGUUGAAUGUUGUAUCUUUAUCCAACAAUUUGGAUAGAAGUUUGGAGAUUUUAAAAAGUCUUUGAUGAACCUCCAAUAGAACUCAGCAUGUUCCAAAAAACUCCUAAUGCCUUUUACACAUAUAGGUGGAAGGAGCUUCUUGAUAACAUCUAUUUUUGCCUUGUCAACUUUUAUUCAUUGUCUUGUUAUUUUAUGCCCCAAAAUAAUAUAUUUCUUUACCAUGAAAUGACAUUUCUUCUAGUUGAGGACAAGGUUCAUUUCUUUGUAUAACACCUCCUAACCCCAAACUGUAGCCGAAACAGGGUUAUGAGGCAUUACAGAACAUUCGAUCAAUUUACGAGCAAUUCACAAGUAAAUAACAAACAUAUAAAAAUUAAAUCAUAAAAUCUCUUUUAAUGGACCCUCGAGGUUAAAUCACAUAUUAAAAAAGGAACGGGACUCGUUCGAGUACUCCAAAUUUUCUUUUUUUUUUAAACUCAAUAUAUCCCCUUUAUAAACAUUUAACCUUCCCUGCAAUUUUCAAACAACAACCAAUCCAAAACCAAUGGCACAACCAAAAACAAUUUAAACUCAAAUAUACCUAAAUCAUGACCAAUUCAUUAACAUAGUAAAUUAAUAACUAAACAUUCAUAAUAUCAUUCAAAAUUAACUAAUAAAUUCAUUCAUUUUUCAUUCUAACUUAAUGUCAAAUUAUAUAAUAUAAUCUUUACCAUUUUAUUAAACUAAUAUCAAAAUAUGGUAUACCAUUUUUACAACCAACAUUACAAGCAUAUCUAUAUAACCUAUACAACUCCUAGUACAUGCCACUUUCAAUUAAGAGAGAAAACAUCACCAAAAUUUAUGCUGGAGUCGGGAUCGUUCGGAUGUUGGAUCGGGACUCUUGACUUCUACUAACCUGCGCACGGAAACAACCGUACGAUGAGUAUUUUAUACUCAGUGGUAUUACCAUAAUUCAAACUAUAAUAACCAUAAUAAAACAUAAAUAUCAAGUAUAUAACAAUUGAUUUUCUCUUACAUUUAUUCAUUCUUAAAUUAUAUAAGUAUUAACAAUACAUUUUUAACUAUGCAUCAACUUUAAUCAUAUGUCAUAACUUUAAUUACAUUUACUACAUGAACAUUUAGUUCAUGUUUUCCAUUUCCAAUUUCAAUUUCAAUCCACAAUUCAUUUUUGUCAUUUCUUUCAAUAUUUUUAAUAUUACGAUCAAUCAGAUUCAUACAAAUUUCUCAUGUUAGUUAUUCUCCCUAUUAACAAUCUGGACUUUGAUGAAUACACGGAUUCUAACCCAAACACACCAAAACGACACAUUGUACCUAAAACGGUACAUAGUACUUGAUCAGUAUACGACACAUAAGUGUCUGAAACGACACACGAGGUGUCUGAUACGACAUAUAAAAUGCCUGAUAUACGACACAUAAAGUGUCUGAUCAGCAAGGUCGAUAAAUCUCGUACUCUUCCAAAUCCUAUGGCAUGCUAAUUAUAUCCGACUCAGCCCGACUAGUUAAUAGGGUAUUUCAAUUUCACAAUCCAAUUUUCACUUUUAUUUCAAGAAUUCAUUUUCAAUAUCAAUUACACUUUUCCAUUCACUAAUCAAAACGCAAUUCAAUACCAACAGAUACUUUUCUCAUUCAAUUUAAUUUUCCAAAUUCAAUUCAUUAAAGUCACUUACCUUAUUAUUUGCUUACCAUACACACAAUUUAAAUUUAACAUUAAAUAAUAAAUAAUUUGAAUUAUAGUAAUACAAACCAUGAAUCUCCCGUUUUAGUCCUCGAUAGCUUUCUCCUUUCUUUUCGAUGCUGAUGCCUCGGGUUUUUUGUUAGCUAUGGAAAUAAUAAUAAUAAUAAUAAUUACAGCACUAAUUAUAAUAAAUAAUUAAAUUUCUAAUCAAUUCCUACCUUAUUCCCAAUUUAAUCCUAACUAAGUUUACUUACUUUUCUAAUUCAAUUCACACUUUAUUUCUAUUCAAAUUUCAUCCAAACUCAAAUUUAACUAUUAAAUUUCCAGCAUAUUUUCCUAAUUACGAAUUUUCCUCAAUUUUAGUCCCUAAAACGUAAAAUUUAUAGCUUACUUCACAAUUUAAUCCUUUUAUGAAUUCUAACUUGAAUUUCAUUCAUUUAAAUCCCUAAUUCAUCUUUUUGUUCAACAUAAACUAUACUUGAAAACCUAUGAACUUACAAAAUAUCAACUUAAUUCCAUCAAAACCUUGUUUUAAAACUUCUAAAACAUCAAAUUUAAGAGAAAAAGACUUAAUUUAACUUACCAAUUAAACUUCAAGCUUCAAAUCCCUAGUUUUCCCUUUUAUUUUUCUUUCCUAUUCUUUCUUCCCCUGUUCGAAUGGCUUCUGCAGUUCUUUUUGUUUCUUUUACUUCUUUUCUUUCUUUUAUUUCUUUAGUUUCUUUUAUUUACUUUAUUUUAUUUACUUAAUAAUUAAUAUAAUAUAUUAUGUUUAAAUGUUAAGUAAACAAAUUAUUUAAUUACAUUUGUACAUAUUUAUAUUAUUACUCUUGUAUAAAUUUUGUACCAUACAUUUGUCAAUUAUCUUAUUUAUUUAAUAAAAAAUCUAUUUAACAACAAAUAAUAAUGUUACAAAUGUACAUAUAUAUUUUAUUCAUAAAUGUACAAUAUCAUCUAUACCAUACACUUGUAUUAAAUCAUUACCAUGCAUUUGUAUUAAAUCAUUACCAUACAUUUGUCUUUAUUUAACUUAUUUCAUAAUAUAAUAAUUAUUAUAAUUUAUAAUUUAAUAAUAAACCUUAAUCAUUAUUAAUUAAAUAUCAUGUAAUAUCUUCAAUUCAAUCAACUUAUGUCGCCUUAUAUUUAUGAAUUGGCUUAAUUGCCAUUUUUGCCCUUUAUACUUUCUUUUAAUCUAUAAUUCAACUUUUACACCUUAUUCUAUUUAGUCCUUUUUCCUAAUUUCUCUUAAUUAAACUAAAUUCAUCUAAUUAAAACUUAAUUAGACACAUUACUAGACUCAUAAUUACUCCUACUAAUUAUUUACGGACUUGGUUUACUAAGACAGAGGCCCGGUAUUGCACUUUUUCGAUGCCCAUGAAUUUUGGGUCCUUACACUUCGCCUCGUUUCAGUACUUUGGCCAAAUUAUCUAAGCAAUCAUCAUAAGAGUCCCCGAACACUGACAAGUCAUCCAUAAAUACUUCCAAAAUUUUUCAACCAUGUCAGUAAAUAUAGCCAUCAUUCAUCUUUGAAAAGUUGUAAGUGUAUUGCACAAACCAAAAGGCAUUCACCGAAAAGCAAACGUACCAUACAAGCAAGUGAAAGUGGUUUUGUGCUGAUCUUUCGAAUCUAUAAUUCUCUGGUUGUACCCCGAAUAUUCGUCUAAGAAACAAUAGUAGCCUUGCCUUGCAAGUUUGUCUAACAUUUGAUCUAAGAAUAGCAACAUAAAAGGCCCUUCUGAGUUGCUUUAUUUAACUUUCUGUAAUUUAUACAAAUUUGCUAGCCCAUAAUUGUCCUUGUCGGAAUCAGCUCAUUAUUUUCAUUCUCCACAAUUGUAGUGCCUCCUUUCUUUGUCACACUGGACCUGACUUACCCAAGAACUGUCAGACAUGGGAUAAAUAAUCCCUACAUCUAACCAUUUGAUCAUUUCCUUCUUGACCACUUCUUUCAUGAUCGAGUUUAGCCUUCUUUGUCCAUCAACUGUUUCCUUUUUUGUCAUCUUCUAAUAGAAUUUUAUGCAUGCCUCAAAUAUCUGUUAUAGUCCACCUAGUUGCCCUUUUGAAUUUCUUCAAAACCUCAAGAAAUUGUUCUUCUUGAGUUUCAAUCAACUCGGCUAAAAUGAUCACAGGUAAAGUAGAAGAGUUACCUUAAUAAACAUAUUUAACAUGUGAUGGUAAUACUUUUAAAUCCAACUUGGGUGGUUCUUCAAUCGACGUCUUUGGUUGUGUGUAUUCACAAGAUGCUAACUCCAAUGAUUCAAAUCGAGAUUGUGAAGUGAAUCCCUUCAGCUUGGCUUCUAUCAUAGCCAGAUCUUCAUCAUCUUCAUUGUCACUUGGCAGGUCUGAUGCUAAAAUCUGUUCCAACAGGUCAUCCGUAGGGACUAAUGACUCUAUAUCGGUCAUAACAGAAAUUCUUCACUUGCAUCAGGAAAUAUCAUGGCUUUGAAAACAUUAAAGCUUACCUAAUCGUCUUGAACUCGUAUGGUGAGUUCCCCUUUCUAGACAUCGAUUAAUGUUCUUCCAGUUGCUAAGAAGACCUUCCCAAGAUGAUAGGGACUUCUUUAUUUGCUUCAAAAUCCAAAAUAAUAAAGUUAACUGAAAUAUAAAUUUAUCCACACAUACCAGUACAUCUUCGAUCUUCCCUUUCAAAUGGGCUAAUGAUUUGUCUUCCAAUUGAAGUGUAACAGUCAUUGGUCUAACCUCAUCAAUACCUAAUCGCUUAGACACAAACAUGGACAUCAAAUUGAGACUUGCUCCCAAAUCACAUAAUGUCAUUCCACAAUAAGUGUCUCCAAUGUUGCCUAGAAUGGUGAAACUCAUUGGAUCUUUCAUUUUUGGGGGCAGUUUGUUUUGCAAGAAUGCAUUGCACUCCUUUGUCAAUGCCAUUGUCUCAAAUUCCCCCAACCUUCUCUUCUUAAAAAUUAUUUCCUUUAUGAAUUUGGCAUAAUUCGGCAUUUGCUCCAAAGCUUUCACAAGAUGGAUGUUGAUAUGUAGUUGUUUAAGCACGUUUAAAAAGUUCUUAAAUUUAACCUCUUGUUUCUACUUCUGGAAUCUUUGAGGAUAUGGAGGUGGUGGAAUCUUAACUUUAAUCAGAUAGCUUUUUUAUGGUAAUGCUUCUACAGUUGCCGUAGGUGUUGAACUUUCAGGACUAACUUGUUGCAGCAACCUCUUAUUAGAAGCUUCUAUAAAGUGGGGAUUUUAAUAUUCAAUUGAUUUUCCUCUUUUUUCUAAGCAACAACAGGCUCAUAUUCAACCUUAACAACUUUAGGUUCCAACGUUUUUCCACUCCUCAAUGUGACAACUUUGUAAUGCUCUUUGCUUGUACUUCUUAGAUUUUCAGUGUCACUUGGCAAAGUACCUUGAGGUCUACUUUGAAGUUCGUUGGCCAGCUGUCCCAUCUGAUUCUCCAAAUUUCUCAAAGAUGCAUCAUUCUUUUUCAUAUAUGCUUUCAAUAAAUUUUCCAAAUUAUUGGAAGAUUUGGCUUGCGAAGGUUUCUAAUCUUGUUGAGAAAAUCUUGGCAGAUGAUUUAGGCGAGAUUGCAUAUAAGAGUUUCCAGGACCAGUCUCUUGGUUACUCUAUGAGAAAUUCGGGUGAUUUUGCUAUGAAGGAUUGUAGAAAUUUGAUUGCGGACCUAAGCCACUCCUAUUCUGAUUUUGGUUUCCCAUGCAAUAGAUGGAUUAUAGAUUUGAUAAGAAAUUUUUGAACACAUGAUUAUCUCCAUAAUACACACAUGAAAUGUUCUCAAAUUGACUCAGAUGUUGUCCUAUCAGAUUACCAUUGAAACCAUUAGCAGUUAUGUUCUUAAGCAUAGUAGACAUAGAAGAUACUUGAGGUGCCAAAGAAAUAAGUGCAUCAAUUUCAUGUACUCCUGUCACUCUUUUUCCUGUGGCUAUUUGAUUAGUCAGCCACUUCGUAAGCUUCAUUGUAGGACUUAAAAAGAAUAUCUCCAUUAGCUGAAACGUCCACCACCAUUCUUGAAUGUGUAUUAAGACCAUUGUAGAAAGUCUCCAACUAAAUACAAUGUGGAAUACCAUGGUGAGGGUACUUUCGCAAUAACUUUUUGAACCUCUCCCAUACCUCAUACAGAGAUUUAUCAUCAAGUUGUUGAAAUGUAGUGAUCUCAUUUCGAAGCUUGGCAUUCUUACUAGAAGGAAAAUAUUUCAUCAAGAAUCAUUUAGCCAAUUCUUGCCAUGUGGUUACCGAGUUAAACGGUAAAGAAUUCAAUCAUGCUCAUGCUCUAUCCCUCAACGAGUAUAGAAACAACUUCAAUCGUAAAGCAUUUUCGAUCAUUUUAGCCAAUUUUAAGGAGUCGCUUACUUUCAUAAAUAAGCGAAGAUGCAGAUAUAGAUCUUUAGUAGGCAUCCCACUAAAUUGGCCCACAGUUUGUAGCAUUUAAAACGUUAUUUGAUUUAAUUCAAAUUGUGGUGCCUCAAUUUCGGGUCUCACAAUUCUUGGAUUAAGUUCCUUGAAAAGAGGCACAACAUAUUGGCAUAUGGCAUGGUCUCUGUCAUUAGCAACAGGCCGAUGAAAGUAGACGUCUGGUAGAAACAAUUGAGAUGUAAACUUGUUAAAGUUAUGUGACUCAAAUUACUGUUAAAUUAAAUAAGAGAUUACUUUCAAGUCAAGUUAAACAAAAUAUAUUUUCUUUCUAGAAGAUUUAAUAUUUAUUAGUAUAAUAUAUAUUUAUCAUUUAUUAGUAUAAUUUAUUUGACCUACGAAAUUAGCUUAUAAAUAGACUAUUUUACAACAUUAGAAAACACUCUAAUUAAAAAGAUUAGAACUCAUAACACUUUUGGAGAAUUUUGUAUUUAUGUUUUGAUGGUUCUUUGUUUUUUGAGUUUCGGGGUUUAGUUUUAUCUGCAUCUUUUGUAUUCUUCGUUCUUUUGCCAUUAUAGUAAAAUUAUAUUUGCUCGUGAUUUUUUAUCCUCUUUGGACGGGUUUUUCUACGUUAAAUUUGUUUGUUCAAUUUCUCAAUUUCUUUUACUAUUUUUUACUUGUUCGUUGCUUAAUCUGGUCGAUCUCCAACAAAACUAGUUUAUUUUUCUUCUUUACCAAAAAAAUUAAACUAAUUAAAAGAAAUAACACAACAAAACUUUAGGUAUGUGAACGAUUUAUGCAUUAACUUUCUUUUUAACAAUUUGGAAUGAUUUAUCAACUUAAUAGCUCAACUUAAAAUGAUUUUUCAAAUGCUAUUGUAGAUGAAUAUGAUAUUAAUUUAAUUAUUUAAUUGACUUUAUAAAUGUAUAAAUGAAUCUAGAGAAUGUAUAAUAAUUGUUGUUAAAAAAAUUUUGAAUUGCAAUAUUAGAUUUUUUUAGGGCUCAAGACAAGGUGAUAUUAUUUCUUUUUUGAAAAGUCCAAAUUUACUAAACAUCGCCAAACAGAACCAAACCAAACCGCAAUUAUUGAUUUUGGAUAUUUUGAUUUUUAUUCCAUAUAAUUGAAAAUCGAAUGAGUGAUUCGCUUCAAUUUUUAGAUAAAAAUUGAACCGAACCGAAAACACCCCUUGCACCAGCAACUAGCCAAUGCACAAUGUUUUCGCCGAUGUGGUCGAAGUUAGGUAAAACGGAACUGGUGUGAUUGAUAUAGACUGAAAUUUUAGCUGAUGCAAACAAGAGAGCUGAUUGCACUGAUUUAUUACUGGAACGAUACAUAUUAACCAAAACGACUGGAACUGGUGUAGAACCGACAUUGAUUUAAGUUGCUCCUCCUAUGUUAUGAGCUUGUUGAAUCUACUCUCUAGAUCUGGGAGUUUGUUUAUGGAAAAUAAAAGGGUAAACUAUAAAAGGGUCACUCAAUUAUGCUUUUUGUUCUAUUUUGGUCACUAAAUUAUGAUUAUUUUUAAUUAGCCACUAAAAUUUUCAAAAUUAAAUAUUUUAGUCACUCUGAGAUUAUGUGGACCUUUUUUAUUGGUCUAGUAACAAAAUUAGCCCUCUGAUUGUUACGCAUGUUAUCAGUUUGAUCCUAAAUAUAAAAAAAAUUCAACAAAUUUAUCCCUCAAUGUUAACAAAAAUUUUCAUUUUAGUUCUAAUUCUAAAAAAUUCAAUAAAUUAGGCCGUCAAUAUUUACAAAAUUAUUAAUUUAGUCCUAACUCUAAAAAUUUAAAAAUUAUUUUUAGCCCUUUAUAACCCAUUGGCUAACUAAUGAUCCCAACAGGGUUGGACCGGGCAAUUUUUUUUAAAAAAUGAAAGGUUUUGAUACCAUUUUUUAUUAGAUUUGCUUAAUGAUUUAUCUCUGAGGUUGUGUACUAAUGUAUAUUUACACACAUGUUGAGAUUACAAUAUAGAAGAAAAAGAAGGAACAAAAUUUCCUUUAAUAAAUUAUUAAAUUAAGAAGAUAGAAAAUUGGGGAAAUAACCUUACAGGGGUGAAAGAAAAUUUGUAUAGAUGCGAUAGAAUGGGACUAGUAGUGAUAAAUUUUAGGGAUUUUUGUACUUUAAUUAACAUUAAAUAUGUAUAGAGGGUAAUUUCGUAAAUAUCUUGGAGCGAGGAGGGGUGAUUUCAUUCUAAACUCGACCUUGACUUGACUCAACCCUACUAUUUUUAAAAAUUAGCCCGCCCCAACCCUUGACUCUAAGAAAAAAACCUGUUUAGGUAAUAAUGCCGCCAAUUAUUCCAGAUAAGUUCAAAAUCAAUUGGUUUUGUUCAAUGUGAAGCCUAAAUUAUAGUAAAAGAAAUUGUUGCAAGUGGCUUGAAAAAGGGUAAUCUUUUUCUUAUUUUAAUACAUCACAUGGUUUAAUCGAUGGGUUAUAAAAUGAUAAAAUUGAAUGUUUUUUAAUUUUUAGAGUUAGGACUAAAUUGAUAGAUUUGUAAAUGUUAAGAGUCAAAUUUAUUGAUUUUUUAAGAAAUAGCACUAAAUUAACAAAUUUUAUAAAUAUUGAGGGCUAAAUUUAUUAUUUUUUAAAUAUUUAGGAUCAAAUUGAUAAAAUAUGUAUACAUUAGAGGGCUACUUUUAUUACUAGACCAAUAAAAAAACCUAUAUUAGCUCAGAAUGAUUAAAAUAUUUAAUUUCAAAAAGUUUAGUGACUAAAUUAAAAAUUUUAAUAAUUAAUAACCAAAAUAGAACGAAAAACAUAGUUGGAUGACUAUUUUUAUAUUUACCCAAAAAAUCUAAAUAUUAAAUAAAAAUAAUAAACUUAAAUGCUAUAUUAAUUUUAUAACAUAAUAAAUAAAUAAAACAAAACCCCUUAAUAUUCUGCGUGUAAGUUGCGCUGUCUUAUUUUAUUCCAUUCUUUCUUUUCUCUCUAAAUCUCAAAAAUUAAAAAUAAUAAAAAGAACCAAACCGAGCAAAUCAAAACGAAGCUAAUGUAUUCAUAAAUUUUCUCUCAUUUUCUCACACUUUCUCAUUUGUUUACCGCUAUAUUUCUUUAAGCACCAAAAUUUGCAUUUCGUGGGAGGAAGAACCCUUCGCGCUUUUUCCACCCCACCCCUCCUCUCUCUCUCUCUCUCUCUCUCUCUCUCUCUCUCUCUCUUUUUCAUUUUUCUUCUAGCACCGACGAUCAAUUUUGCAUCAGAUCUGCGGUUUCAAUUUUGAUUCAAUCAGGUUCUGGCUUUGUUUAUCUUGUUUAUUAUAUUCGUUCUUUCUUUUUUCUCACAUUCAGAUCUGCUUCAUUUAUUUAUUACAUUAUUGAUUUGGAUUUCCGUUUGGCUAUUUUUUUUUUAAAUUUUCGACGUCUAUUUUUUAAACUUUCUCCGUGUUUAGCUCAAUUAUCAUUUUGAUUAUGUUUUCCUCUUCUUUAAAUUGAUAAUGGUUGGAAAGGUUUCUUGUUUCUCUUUCUGGUUGAAUGAUUUGAGUUUUGUUUCUAAUUAUUGUAAGUUACAUUUAAAUAAAUAUUUAUUUAUUUAUUUAUUUAUUUAUUUAUUUUGUUUUUGCUUGCAAAGAUUCUUAUUGCGCGAUUACAAGAUUUAGGGAUCUGUUAAAAAUAUUUUUUGAAAUUUUAGAAAUUUUAUCCCGAUUAGCUUCUUUACUUGCCUCUAAAUGAUCUUUAUUUUUUCUUUGAAUUCUUUUAAUAAUAAAUUUUGUUCAUGUGCAUCUAAUUUUAUUCCAUUGUGGUCUUGAAAAUGGUUCAAGAUCUGAUCUUUCUUUCUGUUGUUUUUGCCUCUAAUGCGACAGGGCUGCUUCAUUGUGAACGCAGGCAACGAUGAAGAAGGCCUUGGGCCAAACUGUUAGAGACCUGUAAGUUCGUUAUUAGAUACAAAUUCCCCCUAUCUAAUUAACGUUUUUGAAUUGUUUGAAUAUUUAACAGUGUAAAGCAAUCUCUUCGUAACAAAAUUAUACUCUGAAGAAUGAUCCUUGCGAGUUUGGUCUUUUGUGAAUAUAUAUAUUUAUUGUAUUCGUGCGUCUUGGUAUUUGCUAUAUAACCAGUGCUAAAUGAUUUAUUAUUCUUUGUUCCUGCAGUAAGAGAGGAGUUAAUAAGAAAGUUCUUAAAGUUCCUGGAAUAGAGCAGAAGGUAAGAAUGUUGUUAGAAAGUUCACUGAGCAUAUGAGUACCUAAUAAUCAAUUGUUGCAUAAUUGUAAGCAUCUAUGGUUGUUUCUUGUAGAAUUAGGUUUCCCUUUGGCUAGGGGUUUAAUAGACUAUCUAGAUAUUGUUCAGUCGAUAUGAUAUGUUUUCUGAGAUAUUAAACUAUGAAUGUGAUUUUUACUUUGAUUGGCAUCAUAGUUGCCAAAAAGUAAGGGACUUUAUGGAAGAGAAGUAGGAAAUGGGAUUAUAAGUGGAAUCCAGCUUUAUUUUUUUGGUGAAGUUGUGGAGGUCCGGGGGGUUAGUGCUCAUGUCUACAUUAUGGUGAGGUGGCAAUGAGUGGAAAAAUGCUCUUGUUUUCAGAAAGAGAAACUGUAGCUUGAUUUAUUUUUUGUUAUACGAGGGGUGAUUCACUACCAGUUAGAGGCCUCUGCUUAUUCCCCUUCUCAACGAAGCGCUACUAGAAAUGGAGAAUUCUGAAAAGUGGUUAUAUGAUUUGGAAAACAAGCUUACUUAUAUUUGGUGUUGAGCUUCCUGUCACUUCCCAUUACAUGGCCGGUUUGAGCCUCUUAAGUGAACGUUUGGAUGGAAGGGUACUAAGAGGGCUGAUUCUUACAUUUGUUCUAGGACCCAAAUUUUCUAUGUAAACUACUUCUGAAGUUAGGCUAACUUCUAAUGCUGGUUGUGCUGAAUCUUGAUAGAAUAUAGUGGAUCCAACUCUUCCAUUUUAUUUUCAUUUGGUAAGAGGAGAUUGUCCUUAAAUGUAUAAAGUAAAAAUAGUUUUAUUUAACAACAGCAAUCACUAUGCAACAACAUAAGAAUAUCACCUGGAAUACAAUUAAAACUUUGUUUAUCUACUUGAAUUAGUAAUACAUUUUUAACUUGUCUUUAGGUUCUUGAUGCCACCAGCAAUGAGCCCUGGGGUCCUCAUGGGUCACUUCUUGCAGAUAUUGCAAUGGCUACUAGAAACUAGUAAGCUUUGAGAGAAAAUAUGUUUGAUUUUCAUUACUUAUUUGUCACGACUAAAUUUAUUUUGCAAAUCUCCAUGCAGUCAUGAAUACCAGAUAAUCAUGGCAGUAAUCUGGAAACGUAUAAGUGACACUGGAAAGAAUUGGCGUCAUGUCUACAAGGUCAGCAUUAUGUUGAAGGGUUAAUUGUAUUAGUGUUUGUUCUCUCUACAACUGAAAAAAGUGUUCGUCUAAAUACUCAUGUAAUUGUAAAAGUUUUAUCCUUUCACUAAAUCUCCUUCAAUUCUGCAUGGUCAUUAUGAUGGGGUGUGGUACAUUUUUUAUGCACUAUAUUUUGCUUUGUGUUUUCUGUAUAUAUUUUACUUUUCCUCCACUUCCUCCCGACAUUAAAAUAUAUCAUUGUACUAAGAUAUGUUCUUUAUUGAGCCUCAGGGUCUGACUGUUCUGGAGCACCUUGUUGCCCAUGGAUCAGAGCGUGUCAUAGAUGAUAUAAGAGAACACGCAUAUCAAAUAUCAGUAAUUGCUGUUUCUUAUGAAAUUAUUUUAUGCAGUGUUGAUAACGCUAUCUGUGGCUCACUGUGUUUAAAACUUUUGGUCUAAUUAAUGUUCCAUCUCAUGUUACAGAGUUUGUCCGACUUUCAGUACAUUGAUUCCAGUGGAAGGGACCAGGGUAGCAAUAUUCGAAAAAUAUCUCAGAGCCUUGUGGUUCUUGUAAAUGAUAAAGAAAGGAUAAUUGAAGUAAGACAGAAGGCUGCAGCCAACAAGGACAAGUGAGUCUGCAAAAAUGGCUUUAUGUUUUAAUUUCCUUGCUGUUUUCAACAUAUGACCAGCAUGUACAAAAUUGAUGAGCAUGCAUAAUUUCAUCAUGAAAUUAUGAUGAGUACUUGUGUGUUAGAGCAUAGAUGCUUUCAACAUAACAAGUAUGUGUGAAAGAGCAUGGCCAUAUUCAUACCUUUUAUUUUGCAAAAUUGACUUGAGAAUUAUUAAAAUUGUUUUUUCUCCUAAGCUGGUGGUAUAUUUUCGCCAUUUAUGGCAGUUUCUUGAGAUUUUACUUGUUCACCCAUUUAGUGGUGAAAAUAAAAUAACUAGUCUAGUCUUGCCAAAUCUACCAUGAUAUGGACAUGGUGGACUAUCUCUGGUUUCCCAUUAAAAUUUUGAAUUUAUUUUCCGCAGCCAUGGUCCUAUAUCUUUACUCUAAUAGAUAAUAUAGGUAGCAUAUGGUAUUAAGCUUAUAUAAAUGAUAUUAUGCCUUUUCUGAUUGAGUUCCAUUUCUCAAAGUUCUAAUGACAUUUCUUGCGUACGAUUACAGGUAUCCCUGUGAUUUAAUUUCUUGUCUCGAAUAAUUUGCCUUGGAAAAUCAUUUUAGAAUAUGAGAAUAUAAAUUAAUGGAAAUGUAGAAUUCUUCCGUAACGUAUAACUGUUUGUUUUACAGGUUUCGGAGCACAUCAACAGGUGGAAUGAAUAGGGCAGGUUUGGGGGGACAGGGGGACAGAUAUGAUUAUGAUUAUCAAUAUGGUUAUAGAGAUGAUGAUUGGUAUGGUAGAUAUACAGAUUCAAACAGUCGUGAUGGAGAUCGCUACAGCAGAGAUAAUGAAGAUCGCUAUGGCAGGGAUGGUUACAGGGAUGAUGACUACAAAGGUAGAAGUACAAGUGUUGAUGGUGAUCAAUAUGGCACCAGAAGUAGGAGCUCUGAUAGAGACCGUGCUUUUGAUGAUGAUGGUGAUUCAUCACGGUAUGCUUUUAUUUCCUUUUGAUACCUUUAUAUGGCUAUGUUCUUUUUAAGAGGCAUAUUAAUAUUGUUGAUUCGAUUAUUUUUUUUCUUGAUUAUUUGUUGAAGUAAAUAUCUUUCUUGUUCUGGAUUGCAAUUUACAUGGUGGAAGUUGAAUAUUUAAUAAGUUCUUUUGCACGAGAUUAGGUAAUUUUCUGCAUACAUGGUGCAUUAAUUAGUAAUUUUCUGCAUAAAGCUUCUUUCUUCAUGAGCUUUUGGGUGUUGGUUCAGUCAUUGAUGUUCUAUUUAGGAAUUUUCAUGACCCCCCCCUUUGAAUCUUAAGUAUGGUGCCUUAACCUUCAUUGAUGCUUGGCAUGAAGAAUGUAAUUAACUGUCGUCUUUGCAGGGGCAGCAAUGCUAGAGCUGAUGAUUAUUCUCAGGAUGGAAGGUAACCCUGAGUGGGUGCAUUCUUUAACUGUCUUAGUUGAUCAAUUUUUUUAACAACAAUUAUUGCUUUCUAAAUUUUCUAAAAAUUAAGUUUCUAUAGGCGGCAUGAGCAGAAGUUCUCUGAACAAAAUAAUGGUGCUCCUCCUAGUUAUGAAGCAGUAAAUGAAUCUCAUAGUCCUGUCCAUAGUGAAAGGUAUUAUUUUGUACCUUAAAUGUUUGGAGACAUAUUGCUUGCUGUUGUAUUUUUCUGUGCACUGAAAAGAUUAUUGAUGAUAGGGAUGGAGAAACUUCAGUAGCAGCUGCUCCCAGGUCAUCUUCUCCUCCUGCUAGCAAUAAUCCUAACCUAGCAACGUCUGAUUUUGGUAAUUUAGCGUCUCCUUCAAAUAAAAAUGUGGAGGCUUUCAAUGCUUUUGAUCCACGUGUUUCAGUUUCAGGUACUAUAUUUGUAAUAUAUACACCAUUGUUUGUAUGUUCCAGUGGUGUUUCCUUGAUCAUGGUUGUCUUAUGCUCAUCCAAUAAGAACUUAGUUGAUGUGGUGACGUUUUGCUUGAACAAUCACCAUGCAAAAUGUAAAUUUCUGAGUUGUUUAAGUAUUUAGUUUGAUAUCCUACAUUGGUUCACAUUCCAUUCCAUUUUUAAUUUUUUGUCCAUAAAAUUUAUGUUAGGAUGACCCCUUGUUUUCAAUUUUGACUUUCCAUUACUCAUUUAAAAUGAAAUUGUACUGAUUGGAGUCUAACAUGAUUGUAUUUGUAUGAACUAAAUCUCCUUGUGUAAAUUGGAUUCUUUUUUAUGCUAUUGCAUUUAUCCCUUUUAACCUAGAACUUACUUUUUAUCUUCUGCUCAUCUGUUUCAGCUGCCUCUGCCGGUGCUCCUGUUUCUACACCUGCCCCUGCUCCUCCCACUGCUUCAACCAGUUCUGAAAUAGACUUACUCGGUGCACUGUCAGAUUCAUGGGUGGUUGUGCCAACUCUAUCUGAAACCCCUGCUGCUGAGGCUGAUGCCCAUGCUAAAGGUUCUAUACCCUCCUUUGCUGCUAAUCCAUCAGCAUCUAACUCCGGAAAUCAGGUAGAUAUGAUUUGUUUGAGGACCUCUUAAACUCCUUUUUCUUUGCUUCAUAUACAAGGAUUUCAUCCUUCCUGUCUAAAAUAUGCCUGUUGGUGAUACCAUGAAUGCGGAUGUGCUGUUCUAUUGUAGCCUUAUCUGUUGUGAUUCAAUUCAUGUAUCUUUAAUUAGUCAGCAUGUAAAACAGCAUGAGUAGUUAAUAUUGAAGCUACUUUGUGAAUUGUUGAUAUCAUCUGUAUAUUUACUAUAGAAGGAUAACAUAAAAAGGUUUUACGGUGAAUUUAAAAAGGUAUAUAAAGGCGAAAUCUUAUUUUGAAUUAUAUCACUUAACUGAUUAUGAAAAUAAUCAUCUUCUAGAUUUUGCUCUAAUUCGUCCCUCUAUCCUAUCCAUCCCCAUUAUUUUGCCUCUAAACGUCGUCUUUAUUCUUUGAUUCCAGUGGACAUCAAUGUGCUCUGAAUAUUUGUUGUAAUUCUGUUGUUAGGGAAUAAGGUUUGUUCUUGAUACAGGGUUUUGAUGAUCCAUUUGGUGAUGGUCCUUUUAAAGCUUUCCCUUCGGGGGAUGCUGCCUCAGCUCAGCAACAAAUAUCGACUCCCGCGAGUACUUUCCAGGCUAAAAUGAGCCAAAUUAUGGAAGCUGCUCAGCCACCUUCUGUAAAAUCUGAGAUUGUCACGGGCUUCGACUUCGGGGAAUCAUUCUCUGCCAGUGCUUACUCCACUCUCAAUGCCUCAAACAGUCAACCUCCCUCAGGAAAUUCACAGUUUUUGCCUCAAGAUUUGUCGGAUCCAAAUCAGGAAGAUGAUAUAUUGGCAGAAAUCCUUCCACCCUCUGGACCUGCAAAUGAUGUAGCUUCACAUACAGUCUUUUCAGCACCAUCCAGCCAAUCAUCACUACCUGUAGCUACUUAUGGCCAGCAUGCACAAUCAGGUGCUAAUAUGUACCAACCCGCGCAGCCAAGUGCGAAUCCAUAUGGCCAGCUUGCUCAGCCCAGUGCUAAUCCAUAUGGCCAAAAUGGGCAACCAAGUGCUGAUCCCUAUGGCCAGCCUGCGCAGCCCAGUGCUAAUCCAUAUGGCCAAAAUGGGCAACCAAGUGCUAAUCCCUAUGGCCAGCCUGCGCAGCCCAGUGCUAAUCCAUAUGGCCAAAAUGGGCAACCAAGUGCUAAUCCCUAUGGCCAGCCUGCGCAGCCCAGUGCUAACCCAUAUGGCCAAAAUGGGCACUCAAGUGCUAAUCCCUAUGGCCAGCCUGUGCAGCCCAGUGCUAACCCAUACAGCCAAAACGGGCAGCCAAGUGCUAAUCCCUAUGGCCUGCCUGCGCCACCCAGUGCAAACCCAUAUGGCCAGUCAAGUGCUAAUCCCUAUGGCCAGCCAACACAACCAAAUGCUAUUCCUUAUGGUCAAUCUGCACAACCAAAUGCUAAUCCGUAUGGUCAACCUGCACAACCAAAUGCUAAUCCAUACAGCCAACCUGUACAGGUACAUGCUAAUCCAUAUGGCCAACCUGCUCAGCCGAAUGCUAAUCCAUACAGCCAGCCUACACAGCCGAAUGCUAAUCCAUACAGCCAGCCUACACAGCCGAAUGCUAAUCCAUACGGCCAACCUGUACAGCCAAGUGC